GACUUUUAAUUGGAGUCUGGAAUGAAUGGUUGGAUGAAAAAUAUGUUUUCUUUUUUUUAAAAUUAAAAAUUUAAUUUUUUAGUCAAAAAGCUAAAAUAAAAUUAUAAGACGAGAAGACCCCAUAGAACUUUAUUAUAUUUUUAAAUAUAUUUUUAAUGGAAUAUAUAUAUGAAUAUAUAUAUAAAUAAUUUUGUUGGGGUGACAGAAAAAAUUAAAUAACUUUUUCUACUUUUUUCAAAAUAUAUGAAUUUGUUGAUCCUUUUUUAGGGAUAUAAAGAUUAAGUUACCUUGGGGAUAACAGCGUUAUUAUUUUGGAGAGUUCAUAUCUAUAAAAUAGUUUGCGACCUCGAUGUUGGAUUAUAAUAAGAUAUAAGAGAAGAAUUUUAUAUUCUAGGUCUGUUCGACCUUUAAAUUUUUACA
rnacentral:rRNA from 2 species